CAGCAGCCACGGGAAUACGAAGGGUGCAAGCGUUAAUCGGAUUUACUGGGCGUAAAGCGUGCGUAGGCGGCUAAUUGAGUCGGAUGUGAAAUCCCCGAGCUUAACUUGGGAAUUGCAUUCGAUACUGGUUAGCUAGAGUGUGGGAGAGGAUGGUAGAAUUCCAGGUGUAGCGGUGAAAUGCGUAGAGAUCUGGAGGAAUACCGAUGGCGAAGGCAGCCAUCUGGCCUAACACUGACGCUGAGGUACGAAAGCAUGGGGAGCAAACAGGAUUAGAUACCCCAGUAGUCCCUGUCUCUUAUAA
rnacentral:rRNA from 1 species